rnacentral:rRNA from 1 species
AACGAACGCUGGCGGCAUGCCUAACACAUGCAAGUCGAACGAGACCUUCGGGUCUAGUGGCGCACGGGUGCGUAACGCGUGGGAACCUGCCCUUAGGUUCGGAAUAACUCCCCGAAAGGGGUGCUAAUACCGGAUAAUGUCUUCGGACCAAAGAUUUAUCGCCUUUGGAUGGGCCCGGGUUGGAUUAGCUAGUUGGUAGGGUAAAAGCCUACCAAGGCGACGAUCCAUAGCUGGUCUGAGAGGAGGAUCAGUCACACUGGAACUGAGACACGGCCCAGACGACGACGGGAGGCAGCAGUGGGGAAUAGUGGACAAGGGGCGAAAGCCUGAUACAGCCAUGCCGCGUGUGGGAAGAAGUUCUUCGGACUGGAAAGAACGUUAAGUUGGGAGGAAGGGCAGUAAGUUAAUACCUUGCUGGUUUGACGUGACCAACAGAAGAAGCACCGGCUAACUUCGUG